rnacentral:rRNA from 1 species
UGGGGAAUUUUGGACAAUGGGCGAAAGCCUGAUCCAGCAAUGCCGCGUGUGUGAAGAAGGCCUUCGGGUUGUAAAGCACUUUUGUCCGGAAAGAAAUCCUUGGCUCUAAUACAGUCGGGGGAUGACGGUACCGGAAGAAUAAGCACCGGCUAACUACGUGCCAGCAGCCGCGGUAAUACGUAGGGUGCAAGCGUUAAUCGGAAUUACUGGGCGUAAAGCGUGCGCAGGCGGUUUGCUAAGACCGAUGUGAAAUCCCCGGGCUCAACCUGGGAACUGCAUUGGUGACUGGCAGGCUAGAGUAUGGCAGAGGGGGGUAGAAUUCCACGUNUAGCAGUGAAAUGCGUAGAGAUGUGGAGGAAUACCGAUGGCGAAGGCAGCCCCCUGGGCCAAUACUGACGCUCAUGCACGAAAGCGUGGGGAGCAAACAGGAUUAGAUACCCUGGUAGUCCACGCCCUAAACGAUGUCAACUAGUUGUUGGGGAUUCAUUUCCUUAGUAACGUAGCUAACGCGUGAAGUUGACCGCCUGGGGAGUACGGUCGCAAGAUU